AUUGAACGCUGGCGGCAUGCCUUACACAUGCAAGUCGAACGGCAGCGCGGGAGCAAUCCUGGCGGCGAGUGGCGAACGGGUGAGUAAUACAUCGGAACGUGCCCAAUCGUGGGGGAUAACGCAGCGAAAGCUGUGCUAAUACCGCAUACGAUCUACGGAUGAAAGCAGGGGAUCGCAAGGCCUUGCGCGAAUGGAGCGGCCGAUGGCAGAUUAGGUAGUUGGUGAGGUAAAGGCUCACCAAGCCUUCGAUCUGUAGCUGGUCUGAGAGGACGACCAGCCACACUGGGACUGAGACACGGCCCAGACUCCUACGGGAGGCAGCAGUGGGGAAUUUUGGACAAUGGGCGAAAGCCUGAUCCAGCCAUGCCGCGUGCAGGAUGAAGGCCUUCGGGUUGUAAACUGCUUUUGUACGGAACGAAACGGUCUUUUCUAAUAAAGAAGGCUAAUGACGGUACCGUAAGAAUAAGCACCGGCUAACUACGUG
rnacentral:rRNA from 1 species